rnacentral:rRNA from 1 species
UACGGGGGGAGCAAGCGUUGUUCGGAUUUACUGGGCGUAAAGGGCGUGUAGGCGGCCACCGCAAGUCGACUGUGAAAUCUCCGGGCUUAACUCGGAAAGGUCAGCCGAUACUGCGGGGCUAGAGUGCAGAAGGGGCAACUGGAAUUCUCGGUGUAGCGGUGAAAUGCGUAGAUAUCGAGAGGAACACCUGCGGCGAAGGCGGGUUGCUGGGCUGACACUGACGCUGAAACGCGAAAGCGUGGGGAGCGAACAGG